CAAGUCAGAUGUGAAAGCCUUCUGUUCAACGGAAGAAUUGCAUCUGAAACUGCUAAUCUUGAGUAUAGGAGGGGAGAAUGGAACUUCUGGUGGAGCGGUGAAAUGCGUAGAUAUCAGAAGGAACGCCGGCGGCGAAAGCGAUUCUCUGGCCUAUUACUGACACUCAGUGUGCGAAAGCUAGGGGAGCAAACGGGAUUAGAUACCCCGGUAGUCCUAGCCGUAAACGAUGGGCACUAAGUAGAGGGAAUUACCUAUAUUCUCUCUGCCGAAGCUAACGCAUUAAGUGCCCCGCCUGGGGAGUACGGCCGCAAGGCUAAAACUCAGAAGAAUUGACGGGGGCUCGCACAAGCGGUGGAGCAUGUGGCUUAAUUCGAUGCAACGCGAAAAACCUUACCGGGGCUUGACAUGAUAGAAGUAGGAACCUGAAAGGGGGACGAACGGUAUCCAGUCCGUAGCUAUUACAGGUGUUGCAUGGCUGUCGUCAGCUCGUGUCGUGAGACGUUGGGUUAAGUCCCCUAACGAGCGAAACCCUUGUUUUUAGUUACCAGCGGGUUAUGCCGGGUACUCUAGAAAGACUGCCGUCGUCAAGACGGAGGAAGGUGGGGAUGACGUCAAGUC
rnacentral:rRNA from 1 species